rnacentral:rRNA from 1 species
UACGUAGGAAGCAAGCGUUGUCCGGAAUCACUGGGCGUAAAGCGCGUGUAGGCGGUACGGCAAGUCUGCUGUGAAAGCUCUCGGCUUAACCGGGAGAGGUCGGUGGAAACUGCCGCACUGGAGGACGGUAGAGGGGGGUGGAAUUCCCGGUGUAGUGGUGAAAUGCGUAGAGAUCGGGAGGAACACCUGUGGCGAAGGCGGCCCCCUGGGCCGGCCCUGACGCUGAGACGCGAAAGCGCGGGGAGCGAACGGG